AGCCGGCUCCCAGCGCGCGGGAGAAGCAGAGAAAUGAGAAAAAAGAAGAAAAAAGGAAGAAAAACCGCCGCUUGUAGAGCCGCGAUUGCUGCGGGGGAAUCCUAGGCGCCGGACGCCCCCGGACCCCGAGAUCCCUCGCUGGAGACUGCAGUAAGAUUCACAGAGGGCCACAGAGGGCCCCAGUGUCCACAGACUCUGCCCAGACGGCGACCAGGACUCCACUGGGGCCUGGGCGGGGCCCAGAGAGGCAUCAGGCCCCUGACCGGACUCAGGACGCCCCUUGACCCGGAGAUCCCUCGCUGGAGGCUGCAGGAAGAUGCACAGAUCGCCCCAGUUUCCACAUACUCUGCCCAGACAGCGACCAGGACUCCACUGGUGGCCUGGGCCAUGUCCAGAGGGGCCUCAUGUACGCGCUGACGGUGCUCUGGGGGGCAGAGCUCAGUCCACGGUGUCCAGGCAGCCCCCGGAUGGACACAGGACACUCAGGAGGCCUCUGGACUCUGCCCAGACAGUGACCAGACCUCUACUAGGGGCCUGGGCCGUGCCCAGAGAGGCCUCGGGGACGAGCUGAUGCCACUGUGGGUGACAGAGCUCACGUCCAUGGUGUCCAGGCCGCCCCUGGGCCAGACGCUGACCCCACGUCUCCCCUGUGCCCUCUGCAUGCCCCUGACUGUACUCAGUUCGCCCCCGGACUCCGAGAUGCCGCUCUGGAGGCUGCAGGAAGAUUCCCAGAGGGCAACAUAGGGCACAGAGGGCCACAGUGCGCCCCAGUGUCCACAGACUCUGCCCAGACAGCGAUCAUGACUCCACCGAGGGCCUGGGCCGUCCCCAGAGAGGCUUCAGGUCUGAGCACUUGGGAAUAAACAAGCAUCCACCCAUCCAUUCCUUAGAUAAGGUCUGAGCACUUGGGAACAAACAAGCAUCCACCCAUCCAUUUCUUAGAGAAGGUAUCAGCAUCCGGGAAGAAACAAGCAGCUUCCCUACCACAUCCUUCUGGUCGUCAGAGAAGGUAAGGCAUCUUUCUUUUGGGACAGUCCAAGGACCGCUCUACUAUAUCUCGAUUGAACAAGGUGUCCAUUCAAAGCUAGUAGCUUCCAUAAAAGCAAGUACAAGCAGUAGAGAUAAAUUCUGGUGACACUGCCAGUGGCCCCUUAUUUUGCCUCGACAUACCAUUGUCAACCACAUUCUGAUGGCCUAGUUUCCUCCCUUCAGGGUGUUGCUUUCAGCCAUUUGCUAUUCCCGCGUUGAGAAAUCUGUUUUUGUGUUUCAUUUAAACUUUUGUUAUUUGACUUUGUAAUUUGCUAUUUUUAUGUCUAAUUUC